UCCCAGGUAGCUCAGAUGGUAAAGCAUCUGCCUAGAGAGCGGGAGACCUGGGUUCGAUCCCUGCCUUGGGAA